AACGAACGCUGGCGGCAUGCCUAACACAUGCAAGUCGAACGAGACCUUCGGGUCUAGUGGCGCACGGGUGCGUAACGCGUGGGAACCUGCCCUUAGGUUCGGAAUAACUCCCCGAAAGGGGUGCUAAUACCGGAUAAUGUCUUCGGACCAAAGAUUUAUCGCCUUUGGAUGGGCCCGCGUUGGAUUAGCUAGUUGGUAGGGUAAAAGCCUACCAAGGCGACGAUCCAUAGCGGGUCUGAGAGGAUGAUCAGCCACACUGGGACUGAGACACGGCCCAGACUACUACGGGAUGCAGCAGUGGGGAAUAUUGGACAAUGGGCGAAAGCCUGAUCCAGCAAUGCCGCGUGAGUGAUGAAGGCCUUAGGGUUGUAAAGCUCUUUUACCCGGGAUGAUAAUGACAGUACCGGGAGAAUAAGCUCCGGCUAACUCCGUG
rnacentral:rRNA from 1 species